GUUGAAACACUGAUUCCUUUUUGAUCACCAAAGUUAAGCAACAUCAAGCCUGAUCAGUACUUUGAUGAGUGACCGCUUGGGAAUACCAGAUGCUGAA